CCUAAGGGCCCCAGGGACCGUCCCUUGGAAGGCAGCCAGCGUGUUAGUGGAGGGUGAAGGGACAGUGCCCUCAUGUUUUGUCUUCUUGCCAGGUGCCCUAAGUGACCUUGCUUUGCCAGUAAACUGGCCUUGAGGCCUUCACCAGGCCAGAAGCCAGGCCAGCCCCAUCCCGCUGGCUGUCUAACAGUAGUGCUGCUAUGAACGUCUACCAUGGACUGCACUGCAAGAUUUACAUGCAUUUAUCUCUGUAAAUGUAUAUGUUGUCGACUCCAGGCGACAAUGAAAUAUUGUCACUGAGAUUAAGCAGUUUGUAGUGGUCCCACGGUUUAUAAGGUAAGAGUCGGGGAUUAGAGGCAACAAGGUGGAGAAUGCCAUUAAUCCCAGGGCCUCUGGAGGUUGAAGCAGGUGGAUCACAAAUCGCCCAGCCUGAGAAAUCUAGUGAGACUGUAUCUCAAAAUACAAAACAAAAAGGACUGGGGAUGUAGCUUAGUGGUAGAGCAUCCCUGGGUUCAAUCCCCACUACAAAAAAAAAAAAAAAAUGUUGGAAUUAGAACCCAAAACACAGAAGUUUAUACUUCAUGACUACUCAGCCCAGUCAGUCAAGCUGUAUGUAUUUGUUCAGAGUGACUUCUAUGAACCAACUGCCCAGGAGAAUAUAAAAGAUGGACAACAGGGAAAUCUUUCCUAUGCUGCUUUAUAGUCCAAUAAGCUGUAUCAAACGUUUUCUCAACAAUUUAAAAAUAUCCUCAAUUGUGUUAAUUAGGAAAACACUAAGCUGUCUUUGACAUGAUUUGGGUCUUUACUGAAUAGAAUAAUAUCAAAAGAAGCAAAGCUAGGAGUGAUGACGCUGGCUAUAGUCCCAGCUACACAGUAGCUGAGAUGGGAGGAUCACUUGACUCCACAAGUUUGGAGACCAGCCUAGGCAACACAGCCAGACCCCUCUCAAAAAAAAAAGGUGAGUGUGGAGCAGAGUUUCUGUUGUUUUCUUCCACACCCUUUGCAGCCUAAGGAUGACUAGGUUUCCCGUCAGGCAAAGAGGAACUUCCAGGAAGGGCUGAGGUUGUUUACAGAUGGCAGGAAAAUGAAACUCAGGGCAUAUGUUGGGGUGAAGGAGGAAAUUCAGGUUGGGCCCUCAUUAUGGAUUUUCUCUAAAACCCAGAAGAGCAUGGAUUUUAUAAGAUUGGUAAAGGGAAGCUGAGACAUCUGUUAGCUGAGGUAAGACAUCGAAAGUAGUUUUUCAGGCAAGGCAGUCUGGCAUUGAUAUGAGGGCCAGGCUAGUUAGAAAGCUGUUGUGUUAAUCCCAGAAAGAAGUACUAGGAUCCAUUUUUAGAGUACUAGCUAUGGGAACUUUGGGGAGAAACAACAUUUUGAAGGGUGAAACAACAGAAUUCAGUGAUGGGUUGGGCACUGUAAUGAAGGGGCUUGAUCUAGUCAGAACAGAAUGUCACACAAGGAGAGAGUGGUCAGGCUAUAUUUGUGCACUUCUUGUCUGUAGAGAUAUGCUACUUUGAGACUAACUGACUCCUAGGAUAUGUCCUUUUGAACAAGCAACAAAUGUUGGGGACAGGGGGAGUGACAACAGCAAAAAGAAGUAUAUCUAACAUAAUUAACUGCCUCAGCUCCAUCCUUUCAGAAGACCACGCCAACCUCUGGAACACCAAGCACUGAGACCAAGGUGGUUGGGGGUGGGAGAUAAAGAGAAGUUGAUUGUCAUCUUUGUAUACCACACCUAAUAAAAAGGCUUCUUUUUCUUUUUUAGAUGGCCACUGAAAGGAGUACCCCCACA
rnacentral:lncRNA from 1 species